GACGAACGCUGGCGGCAUGCCUAAUACAUGCAAGUCGAGCGAACAGAUGAAGUGCUUGCACUUCUGACGUUAGCGGCGAACGGGUGAGUAACACGUAAGGAAUCUACCUAUAAGCGGGGGAUAACAUUCGGAAACGGGUGCUAAUACCGCAUAAUAUCUUCUUCCGCAUGAAGAAGAUUGAAAGACGGCUUUGCUGUCACUUCUAGAUUACCUUGCGGUGCAUUAGUUAGUUGGUGGGGUAAUGGCCUACCAAGACGAUGAUGCAUAACCGACCUGAAAGGGUGAUCGGCCACAUUGGGACUGAAACACGACCCAAACUCCUACGGGAGGCAGCAGUAGGGAAUCUUCCGCAAUGGGCGAAAUCCUGACGGAGCAAUGCCGCGUGAGUGAAGAAGGCCUUCGGGUCGUAAAACUCUGUUAUAAGAGAAGAACAAAUUGUAGAGUAACUGCUACAGUCUUGACGGUAUCUUAUCAGAAAGCCACGGCUAACUACGUGCCAGCCGCCGCAGUAA
rnacentral:rRNA from 1 species